rnacentral:rRNA from 1 species
GACGAACGCUGGCGGCGUGCUUAACACAUGCCAGUCGAACGGAAAGGCCCUGCUUUUGUGGGGUGCUCGAGUGGCGAACGGGUGAGUAACACGUGAGUAACCUGCCCUUGACUUUGGGAUAACUUCAGGAAACUGGGGCUAAUACCGGAUAGGAGCUCCUGCUGCAUGGUGGGGGUUGGAAAGUUUCGGCGGUUGGGGAUGGACUCGCGGGUUAUCAGCUUGUUGGUGGGGUAGUGGCUUACCAAGGCUUUGACGGGUAGCCCGCCUGAGAGGGUGACCGGGCACAUUGGGACUGAGAGACGGCGCAGACUCCUACGGGAGGCAGCAGUGGGGAAUAUGGCAGAAUGGGCGGAAGCCUGAUGCAGCAACGCCGCGUGCGGGAUGACGGCCUUCGGGGUGUAAACCGCUUUCGCCUGUGACGAAGCGUGAGUGACGGUAAUGGGUAAAGAAGCACCGGCUAACUACGUG